rnacentral:rRNA from 1 species
UACGUAGGGUGCAAGCGUUGUCCGGAAUUAUUGGGCGUAAAGAGCUCGUAGGCGGUCUGUCGCGUCGGAUGUGAAAAUCAGGGCUCAACCCUGGACCUGCAUUCGAUACGGGCAGACUAGAGUUCGGCAGGGGAGACUGGAAUUCCUGGUGUAGCGGUGAAAUGCGCAGAUAUCAGGAGGAACACCGGUGGCGAAGGCGGGUCUCUGGGCCGAUACUGACGCUGAGGAGCGAAAGCGUGGGGGAGCAAACAGG